GAUGAACGCUGGCGGCGUGCCUAACACAUGCAAGUCGAACGGAGUUAUGCAGAGGAAGUUUUCGGAUGGAAUCGGCGUAACUUAGUGGCGGACGGGUGAGUAACGCGUGGGAAACCUGCCCUGUACCGGGGGAUAACACUUAGAAAUAGGUGCUAAUACCGCAUAAGCGCACAGCUUCACAUGAAGCAGUGUGAAAAACUCCGGUGGUACAGGAUGGUCCCGCGUCUGAUUAGCCAGUUGGCAGGGUAACGGCCUACCAAAGCGACGAUCAGUAGCCGGCCUGAGAGGGUGAACGGCCACAUUGGGACUGAGACACGGCCCAAACUCCUACGGGAGGCAGCAGUGGGGAAUAUUGCACAAUGGGGGAAACCCUGAUGCAGCGACGCCGCGUGAGUGAAGAAGUAUUUCGGUAUGUAAAGCUCUAUCAGCAGGGAA
rnacentral:rRNA from 1 species